UGCUAUCAUGAUGAUCUUGUAUAAAUCAAUGGGAAUCUCUCUGAAUAAGAGUGAAGAGUGUUUUUAUCUGAUGAUGCA